ACAGUGGACGCGAGCAUCUUUGUUGUAAGUGUUUAAGAGCGUACGGUGGAUGCCUUGGCACCAGGAGCCGAUGAAGGACGUAGGAGGCUGCGAUAAGCCUCGGGGAGCUGUCAACCGAGCUGAGAUCCGAGGAUGUCCGAAUGGGGAAACCCAGCCACAGUGAUGUGUGGUUACCCGCGCCUGAAUAUAUAGGGCGUGUGGAGGGAACGUGGGGAAGUGAAACAUCUCAGUACCCACAGGAAGAGAAAACAACAUGUGAUUCCGUGAGUAGUGGCGAGCGAAAGCGGAAGAGGCUAAACCAUGGGUGUGUGAUAGCCGGCGGGCGUUGCAUUCGUGGGGUUGUGGGAUCCGUCUUGUCAAUUCUGCCGGAUUGGCCGACAGUGAGAAAUCAUCGUGUUAGUCGAAGUGGUCUGGAACGGCCUGUCGUAGAGGGUGAGAGUCCCGUAGACGAAAACAUGGUGACUGUCGUGACGGACACCCGAGUAGCAGCGGGCCCGUGAAAUCUGCUGUGAAUCUGUCGGGACCACCCGAUAAGCCUGAAUACUCCCUGGUGACCGAUAGCGGACUAGUACCGUGAGGGAAAGGUGAAAAGUACCCCGGGAGGGGAGUGAAAUAGUACCUGAAACCGUGCGCUUACAAUCCGUCAGAGCCUGCGCCACUUUGGUGGGUGGGUGAUGGCGUGCCUUUUGAAGAAUGAGCCUGCGAGUUAGCGGCAUGUCGCGAGGUUAACCCGUGUGGGGUAGCCGUAGCGAAAGCGAGUCCGAAUAGGGCGUUUGUAGUGGCAUGUUCUAGACCCGAAGCGGAGUGAUCUACCCAUGGCCAGGGUGAAGCGACGGUAAGACGUCGUGGAGGCCCGAACCCACUUAGGUUGAAAACUGAGGGGAUGAGCUGUGGGUAGGGGUGAAAGGCCAAUCAAACUCCGUGAUAGCUGGUUCUCCCCGAAAUGCAUUUAGGUGCAGCGUCGCGUGUUUCACUCUGGAGGUAGAGCUACUGGAUGGCCGAUGGGCCCCACAAGGUUACUGACGUCAGCCAAACUCCGAAUGCCAGAGUGUGAGAGCGCGGCAGUGAGACUGCGGGGGAUAAGCUUCGUAGUCGAGAGGGAAACAGCCCAGAUCGCCGGCUAAGGCCCCUAAGCGUGUACUAAGUGGAAAAGGAUGUGGGGUCGCGAAGACAACCAGGAGGUUGGCUUAGAAGCAGCCACCCUUGAAAGAGUGCGUAAUAGCUCACUGGUCAAGUGAUCCUGCGCCGACAAUGUAGCGGGGCUCAAGUACACCGCCGAAGCCGCGGCAUUCACAUAACACCCAUGCGGGUCUACGGGCCUGUGUGCAGUGGUGUGGAUGGGUAGGGGAGCGUCGUGCAGCCAUGGAAGCGCCGGAGUGAUCCAGGUGUGGAGGCUGCACGAGUGAGAAUGCAGGCAUGAGUAGCGAAAGACGAGUGAGAAACUCGUCCGCCGAAUGACCAAGGGUUCCUGGGCCAGGUUAAUCCGCCCAGGGUGAGUCGGGACCUAAGGCGAGGCCGACAGGCGUAGUCGAUGGACAACGGGUUGAUAUUCCCGUACCCGUGUGAACGCGCCCCUGGUGAAUCAGUGAUGCUAAGCGCCCUGAAGCCGCCUUCGAACCUUCGGGUUCUCCGGUGUGUGGAUGCGCGUGAACCGAUCUGGUAGUAGCCAAGCGAUGGGGUGACGCAGGAAGGUAGCUGAGCCAGUCAGUGGUAAUACUGGUGUAAGCGUGUAGGGCGUGACCUAGGCAAAUCCGGGUCACAUACAGCCUGAGACGUGAUGCGUAGCCGAUUGAGGCGAAUUCAGUGAUCCUAUGCUGCCGAGAAAAGCCUCUAGCGAGCUUUCACACGGCCCGUACCCCAAACCGACACAGGUGGUCAGGUAGAGAAUACUAAGGCGAUCGAGAUAACUGUGGUUAAGGAACUCGGCAAAAUGCCCCCGUAACUUCGGGAGAAGGGGGGCCUCGUCUGGUGACGGAACUUGCUUCCUGAGCUGGGUGGGGCCGCAGAGACCAGAGAGAAGCGACUGUUUACUAAAAACACAGGUCCGUGCGAAGUCGUAAGACGAUGUAUACGGACUGACGCCUGCCCGGUGCUGGAAGGUUAAGAGGACCGGUUAGCCAGUAAUGGCGAAGCUGAGAAUUUAAGCCCCAGUAAACGGCGGUGGUAACUAUAACCAUCCUAAGGUAGCGAAAUUCCUUGUCGGGUAAGUUCCGACCUGCACGAAUGGCGUAACGACUUCUCUGCUGUCUCAACCACAGACUCGGCGAAAUUGCAUUACGAGUAAAGAUGCUCGUUACGCGCGGCAGGACGAAAAGACCCCGGGACCUUCACUAUAGCUUGGUAUUGGUGUUCGGUUCGGUUUGUGUAGGAUAGGUGGGAGACUGUGAAGCGGGCACGCCAGUGUUCGUGGAGUCGUUGUUGAAAUACCACUCUGAUCGUAUUGGACAUCUAACCUCGGACCAUGAUCUGGUUCAGGGACAGUGCCUGGUGGGUAGUUUAACUGGGGCGGUUGCCUCCCAAAAUGUAACGGAGGCGCCCAAAGGUUCCCUCAGCCUGGUUGGCAAUCAGGUGUCGAGUGCAAGUGCACAAGGGAGCUUGACUGUGAGACUGACAGGUCGAGCAGGGACGAAAGUCGGGACUAGUGAUCCGGCACCGGCAAGUGGAAGCGGUGUCGCUCAACGGAUAAAAGGUACCCCGGGGAUAACAGGCUGAUCUUCCCCAAGAGUCCAUAUCGACGGGAUGGUUUGGCACCUCGAUGUCGGCUCGUCGCAUCCUGGGGCUGGAG
rnacentral:rRNA from 1 species